CCGGGAGCUCUCGAGGUGUCUGGAGGCCUACUGAGCCCCGGACCCAGGAGGCCCAAGGAGCUGGAGGUGACCCUGAGGCAGCAAGACCCCAGAGGAAGGGUGUGAGCCCCGCAGACGGCUGUGCGGUACCCCAGGCUGGGCUCCUGUUAGGAGGGGGUGCCUGUGCCCAGGCAGCGGCUCAAAGGCAGCUGCUCCAUGCAGAACUGAAGCUGGUUUUGCAGCAGAAGCAGGAGCCUGGGGCCCGGGUGACUCCCAGCAGUGCCAUGGAGGCCAGGAGCCGCAGUG